rnacentral:misc_RNA from 1 species
UCCGGUUUGUCACCGGCAGUCACCUUAGAGUGCCCAACUGAAUGCUGGCAACUAAGAUCAAGGGUUGCGCUCGUUGCGGGACUUAACCCAACAUCUCGCGACACGAGCUGACGACAGCCAUGCAGCACCUGUGUUCCGGCCAGCCGAACUGAAGGACACUGCAUCUCUGCAGCUUUUCCGUAUAUUUCAAGCCCUGGUAAGGUUCUUCGCGUUGCGUCGAAUUAAGCCACAUGCUCCGCCGCUUGUGCGGGCCCCCGUCAAUUCCUUUGAGUUUUAACCUUGCGGUCGUAAUCCCCAGGCGGGGUGCUUAAUGCGUUAGCUACGGCACGGAGGGAGUGGAUAACCCCCCACACCUAGCACCCAUCGUUUACGGCGUGGACUAC